UACGAAGGGUGCAAGCGUUACUCGGAAUUACUGGGCGUAAAGCGUGCGUAGGUGGUUCGUUAAGUCUGAUGUGAAAGCCCUGGGCUCAACCUGGGAAUGGCAUUGGAAACUGGCGAUCUAGAGUGCGGUAGAGGGUAGUGGAAUUCCCGGUGUAGCAGUGAAAUGCGUAGAGAUCGGGAGGAACAUCCGUGGCGAAGGCGACUACCUGGACCAGCACUGACACUGAGGCACGAAAGCGUGGGGAGCAAACAGG
rnacentral:rRNA from 1 species